rnacentral:rRNA from 1 species
UACGAAGGGGGCUAGCGUUGCUCGGAAUGACUGGGCGUAAAGGGCGCGUAGGCGGCUUGUUUAGUCGGAUGUGAAAUUCCUGGGCUUAACCUGGGGGCUGCAUACGAGACGUAUGGGCUUGAGUGCGGAAGAGGGUCGUGGAAUUCCCAGUGUAGAGGUGAAAUUCGUAGAUAUUGGGAAGAACACCGGUGGCGAAGGCGGCGACCUGGUCCGUGACUGACGCUGAGGCGCGAAAGCCAGGGGAGCAAACGGG